rnacentral:rRNA from 1 species
UGAGCAAUCUGCCCUUCUCAUCGGAAUAAGCGUUGGAAACGACGUCUAAUGCCGAAUACGACCUCCUUUCGCAUGAUCGGAGGUGGAAAGCUCCGGCGGAGAAGGAUGAGCUCGCGGCCUAUCAGCUAGUUGGUGUGGGUAAUGGCCCACCAAGGCGACGACGGGUAGCCGGCCUGAGAGGGUGACCGGCCACACGUGGGACUGAGACACGGCCCAGACCUCCGUACGGGAGUAGCG